rnacentral:lncRNA from 1 species
GCCCAGGCUGUGUGUAGUUGGUUCCUCAAGUCCUUUCUGAAGUCAGGACGGAUGUUUGCUCCAGACCCUGACAGCAAUGGGGAACUGCACUGUGGCCAGCCCUGAUGGGAAGUGCGAUCUCUGCGGAUGGUGCCAGGUGGACACCGAUGGCUUCUGAACACCCACAGGAAGGCUUUGCUCCACUAAAGGGCUUACAGCUACUGAUUACAGCACUCUCAAAGUACAUAAACCUCAGCUUGGCAGCAGCAGACCGGCGAAGGAAAGCAGCGCAUUGGGAAUGCAAAGCGGCCGCUCUCAGCUGCACAGCCCGAUGCUGGUCUGGGGACAGCGCCUCUGCCACUUCCACAGCCAGAGGAAAAAUCCAACCAUGCCCCAAAAUGAAGGCAGAACAGAGCUGUGCUUGUGGCAUCAUCUCCCAGGGCAGCACUGGUACCAGCAGCACGCUGCAGUGUCUGUAGUGCACAGUGAGCUUUGGGACCCAACCAUGCCAUCUCCCCAGGCCAUGCCAAACCCACAUGCACCUCAUCCACAGAACUGAGUGUGGGCAGUGGGGCCGUGUGCUCUGCGUGGCAGCGUUCAGCCCCAGCCCUGCAUCCCAUCAUCUUCCCAACCAGCAGAAGGGGCUGGUGCUGGCUGGAGACUGACAAGAGGGACUUCUUGGCUAUUCAGUUCCCAAGAGGUAUGUUUCUCUACACAUUCACACCCUAAAACUGUCAUACACUUGGCUCUCAGUACUUCAUUCACUCCCUUGCCAGGAUCAGGGGCUGUGCAUUGCCUCUGCAGGGGCAGCUGCUGCUACAGGAUCUGCUGAGCAGCCCCAGGAACGUGCUCUGCUGUGCUGCAGGACGUGGUCCCUCUCCUGUGCUGGUGACAGCUGGCGUUACACUACAUUGUGCUUCAUAGGGGCUGAGUGACGGAGGAGCAGGGAUGGGGAAUGGGGCUGAGAUGGGUUCAGUCCCACAGUGCAGUGCCCUGAGUGCUGCCCAUGGGAUGCACACAGGCCCGGAUGGACUCAUGGGAGGAGGCAGCUGAAGCUGCCAGGCAGAGCCGCAAACCUCAGCCAAUGUAAACACACCCCAGCGCACACCACACAGUGUAAAUACUGUUUGGCAAAAGGAUUACUGGGUUUUGCUCUCUGGCAGGUAAUAAAAGUUUAAUCCAGUCCGCCAUCUGCAGUCAGGACGGGGACGGUAAGUGAGAUGCCUUAAGCUGCUGCUGGAGACGCGCACAGGAGAGGCAGUGACAGAAAGAAAGGGACAAAUGCCAUCGCCAAAUGACGCCCAUCACUGAUGGCUGCAACGCCACGCUGCUGGGGCUGAACCCAGAGCAAGAAAGCAGCAAUCGCCCAGCAGCCACGUGGGACCACGGGCUCUCUUUUGGGCACAGCGCCCACACACGGGACCCGAUGCCUCGUGCACAACGUCACUGAUCCUUCAUGGAGGGAUUUUGGAUGCUUGAUUCAAAGUGGCACCGCCACGAUGGCAGCCCGGCAGCGAAAAGGACGAGAGGAAAAGGAGCAGCUUUUCUCCCAUCGCUGUGCUUGAGGCACCCGGCUGCAGACGGAGCGGGACCACGUGCUCCUAUUGCUGACACACUUGAAGUCGAAAUACACAGUGAGUACACGUGUGCAGACAGCAUUUACUACAUCUGUACGUGCCCCGUGUAAGCACACAGCACGUGUGAGUCUCUAUUGCUCAGGUGUGUGUGCUGUGCACAGUCACACCAACACAAACCACCACGGGCAUUUCUAUGUGUGCACACACUUGCACGGGAGAAAGGAAUCUGCAGCUGAAAUCCAAC